UACGUAGGUGGCAAGCGUUGUCCGGAAUUAUUGGGCGUAAAGCGCGCGCAGGCGGUCCUUUAAGUCUGAUGUGAAAGCCCACGGCUCAACCGUGGAAGGUCAUUGGAAACUGGGGGACUUGAGUACAGAAGAGGAAAGCGGAAUUCCACGUGUAGCGGUGAAAUGCGUAGAGAUGUGGAGGAACACCAGUGGCGAAGGCGGCUUUCUGGUCUGUAACUGACGCUGAGGCGCGACAGCGUGGGGAGCAAACAGG
rnacentral:rRNA from 1 species